AUUGAACGCUGGCGGCAUGCCUUACACAUGCAAGUCGAACGGUAACAGGUCUUCGGAUGCUGACGAGUGGCGAACGGGUGAGUAAUACAUCGGAACGUGCCCGAUCGUGGGGGAUAACGAAGCGAAAGCUUUGCUAAUCCCGCAGAAGAUAUACGGAUGAAAGCAGGGGACCGCAAGGCCUUGCGCGAACGGAGCGGCCGAUGGCAGAUUAGGUAAUUGGUGGGAUAAAAGCUUACCAAGCCGACGAUCUGUAGCUGGUCUGAGAGGACGACCAGCCACACUGGGACUGAGACACGGCCCAGACUCCUACGGGAGGCAGCAGUGGGGAAUUUUGGACAAUGGGCGAAAGCCUGCUCCCGUCAUGCCGCGUGCAGGAUGAAGGCCUUCGGGUUGUGCCCUUCUUUUGUACGGAACGAAAUGCCUCUUUCUCCUCAAGAGGGUCCAUGACGGUACCGUAAGACUAAGCACCGGCUAACUACGUGCCAGCAGCCGCAGUAAUCC
rnacentral:rRNA from 1 species